UUUAAAACACAGAGAAACAGCAAUGGCAAAAACAUCCCUUUUAAACACUGAGAAACAGCAAUGGCAAAAACUUCAGUGUUGUUAUCAUGCUUGAUGGUUUUAUGUCUCGUAGUAUUUGCAACAGGGUUUGGUUGUAACUAUACCUGCCAUGAACCAACUGUUUGUGCUAAACUGCGAUGUGCUCCUAAUUGCCUAAGGCGAUGCCGUAACCUGUGCUGCGUUUGCUACUGUCUUGGAAAUGAAAAACCUGAAAUAAAGAUGUAACAAUUCCAUGCCUUUGCUUGGAAUUUAUAAGUAAUAAGAGAAGUUGAAGUAAUAAG
rnacentral:sRNA from 1 species